UAACAAAAGUGGCUGAAUGCAUGAGGCAGUUUGUUAAAUUUGCCCCAUGCAGCGGGAGAACCAGCGUUAUAUUGGGGUGAAUCGGCAAGCUUUGGCUGCCGUAGGGAUGUCCUUCUUGUCCCGAACCCGUCAGCUAAUCCCGUAAGCCCAAAAAAGAAGGGAG
rnacentral:sRNA from 2 species